GCUUAAUAUUAAAAUUUUAUUUAGUUGAAUUUUUUUGUUAUAAAAACUUAGUGAUUGAGUUUAUUUUAUUGGGGCGAUAAGAGUAAAAUGAUUAUUAACUGCUUAAUUUUUGAUACAUUUAUAGAUGAUUAAAUUUUUAGAUGAUCCUAGUUAGAGAUUAAAAGUUUAAGUU
rnacentral:rRNA from 1 species